UACGUAGGGGGCAAGCGUUGUCCGGAUUUACUGGGCGUAAAGAGCGUGUAGGCGGCCAAGCAGGUCCGUUGUGAAACUGGAGGCUUAACCUCCAGACGUCGACGGAAACCGCGUGGCUAGAGUCCGGAAGAGGAGAGUGGAAUCCUGGUGUAGCGGUGAAAUGCGCAGAUAUCAGGAAGAACACCAAUGGCGAAGGCAGCUCUCUGGGACGGUACUGACGCUGAGACGCGAAAGCGUGGGGAGCGAACAGG
rnacentral:rRNA from 1 species